CACACGAAUUGUAAACACCAACAACAACAAAUCGUGACGUCUUUGUGUUUCUACGUAAGAUUCUGAGGUAAAAUAAUAAUUACCUUAUACACACGAAUUGUAAACAACAAAUCGUGACGUCUUUGUGUUUCUACGUAAGAUUCUGAGGUAAAAUAAUUAUUACCUUAUACACACAAAUUGUAAACAACAACAAAUCGUGACGUCUUUGUGUUUCUACGUAAGGUUCUGAGGUAAAAUAAUAAUUACCUUAUACACACGAAUUGUAAACAACAACAAAUCGUGACGUGAUUGUGUUUCUACGUAAGGUUCUGAGGUAAAAUAAUAAUUACCUUAUACACACGAAUUGUAAACAACAACAAAUCGUGACGUCUUUGUGUUUCUACGUAAGAGUCUGAGGUAAAAUAAUAAUUACCUUAUACACA